GACGUAGGGCGCGAGCGUUGUCCGGAUUUAUUGGGCGUAAAGAGCUCGUAGGCGGCUUGUCGCGUCGUUCGUGAAAACUUGGGGCUCAACCCCAAGCUUGCGGUCGAUACGGGCAGGCUAGAGUUCGGUAGGGGAGACUGGAAUUCCUGGUGUAGCGGUGAAAUGCGCAGAUAUCAGGAGGAACACCGGUGGCGAAGGCGGUUCUCUGGGCCUGUACUGACGCUGAGGAACGAAAGCGUGGGGAGCGAACAGG
rnacentral:rRNA from 1 species